AUGGCUUCUUCGAAGAUUGAUAAGCCUACGUCUCUUCGACUCGGUGGUUUAUUGAUUCAAAGCGAAGCCCAGAACAAUUUUGAUAAAUAUCAGCUAAUGAAUAAUAAAAAUUUGGGUUGAUAUCUCGUUGAGUUAACUUUCUUCAUGGAAGAAAAAAUAGAGUGUCAGUAUUCUAUUUGUUUAUUGCUCAAUGCUACAUGU
rnacentral:snoRNA from 1 species